rnacentral:rRNA from 1 species
UACAGAGGUCUCAAGCGUUGUUCGGAUUCAUUGGGCGUAAAGGGUGCGUAGGUGGCGCUGUAAGUCGGGUGUGAAAUUUCGGAGCUUAACUCCGAAACUGCAUUCGAUACUGCGGUGCUUGAGGACUGGAGAGGAGACUGGAAUUCAUGGUGUAGCAGUGAAAUGCGUAGAGAUCAUGAGGAAGACCAGUGGCGAAGGCGGGUCGUCUGGACG